ACACAGGAACCAGAUACUAUGUAUAUGCGCUGCCAGGCACUCAGACACUGAACUCUCAGCUUGAGGCAGAACUAGGCACAUUUGUGCAGGGGAAUCCAUGCCUCAUGCUGCUCUCCAGUCUGCCCUGGGUGUUCCUGGCCUUCAUCUUCUCUGGAUCCAGUGUAGCCCAGAGAGUUACUCAAGACCAGCCAGACAUUUCCAGUCAAGUUGGGGAGGUAGUCACCCUGAGCUGUCAAUAUGAGACAAGACUGAGCAUUUACAGAAUUUUUUGGUAUAAACAACUUCCCAGUGGAGAGAUGAUUUACCUUAUUGGUCAGGUUUCCUCUAGCCAGAAUGCAAGGGAUGGCCGCUACUCUACAGAUAUUCAGAGAUCAGGUAAAUCAAUCAGCCUCACUAUUUCAGACUUACAGCUGGAAGACUCUGCAAAGUACUUCUGCACUCUCUGGGAACUCACAGUGGUUGAAAUAAUAGGAAAAGCUGAACAAAAACCCCAGAGCUUAAUAAGAGAGAGCCCCCCUGCUGUGGGACCCAGGCUGAAAUACACCUGCAGAGCCCAGACAAGAAAUGGUAGUCCUGCGGUUGCUUCAUCUGUGGUCUGGAUCAGAAGAUUUAAUUCUAAAUAAAAGCUCAUUCUAUGUCAUUUGGAAGCAGGUGUCCAGAGUAACUUUCUACUGAUAUAUUCUCCUCCUGAAUUUUUUACUUUAAAUCAGCCACACAGAACAUGUGUAAAGUUGUCUAAAUUUGAAAACUUGCUCUAUAAUAAUAUAGAAAGCAGUUUCACCUAAAGAGGCUCACAUCACAAAUCUGGAUCUAGAAGCUGAAAUUGUCAUGAAAAUAAUUUCCUUAGUCCUUUCCUCUCAGAUUUUGUGUCAGGGCACAACCAGAGAAGG